rnacentral:lncRNA from 1 species
UGAGAGACAAAAUACAAACUAUCACAAUCUCAAGAGACAAAAUACAAACUUUCACAAUCUCAUCAUAAGAGCUGGUUAAGCAAAUGCGCUCCUCUUUUCUCUUUUCCUAUCUGAACCUAUAACUUCUAACCCAGUAUAUUUUACUGGGUGGUCGUCCAAGGAUCUCAAAGUAACAAAUGAAAAACUGGAAUUUAAUGAGAUGGGUUUUCUGUGGGAUUUUGACCUGAAAAUGUCGGCGGAGAAACAAAAAAUGGCACAAAACUGGGAAACGAAUCGGGGUGUAAGAUCGGAGAGGGUAAACAGUGUGAAAUUGAGAAGUAAAUGAGGGAUCGCUCGCAGUAUUUUAACAAAUUAAAGACUUAUCUUCUGCUCAGGGUUGAUCGAAGAAUCCGCUACCUUCCCUGUAUAACCAAAUGGAUUGGAUUAUCCGUUAAACAACCAACUGAAUUGUUCAAUAUUUAUCCAAUAAAUAAAUCAAACUGAAGGCUACACUUCAAAUUUUAAUUUGCUUUUUAAAAAUUGGUUUAUAUCAAACUCGAGUUAAUU